CAUUCCACCACCAUCUUUCUCCAGAUACCCAAAUGCACAGAGUGGUAGCUCUGCAAAUACUUAAAUGAACACAUUUUUUUCAGAAUGAAAAAUGCCUCUACAGAAUAGAUUAUCACAAAGACUGAAAUGUCCUUGGAAGUCUUUAAAAACAUCCUCGUAUGACUUAGGAAUAAUUCUGCUGAAGGAAAAGGAACAAAUCAGAUGACCUUGUAAAGCUUAUUCUGCGAAUUACAUCAACUCUAAAAGUAUUGCCUAAUAAUUCAAAAACAAACUAUACAAACUAUGCAAAUACUAUUUACAAAAAGAAACUAGCAUUUAUUGUAAUAUGCAAUGCUUAACAAAUUUUUCUACCCAAAAUUUGAGCUGUUCUUAGAAUAUUUAUGAUAUUUUCAGUUACAUCCAAGGAUUGCAUCAAAAGCUCAUUAACUCUUAUUUCAUACUUGAAAGAAGUAGGACAGAGAGAAACACUGGUCAACUCAAGCUGGUAUCAGAGCAAAAUUAAUUUAGAAGCACAAGUUCAUAAAAAUGUACAUAAUGAUGUCAAUUUUUAUUAUCUGCACAUCAUCACUAAAAAUAUACCUAUUGAAUUCCAGAAGAUAUCUAAUUUUGAUGAUUAUACCUUCACUAUCUUCUAUGAAAAAGAUAUACAAAAAGUUUUGUAUAUCUUUUAUCCCCAAUUAAACCAAUCUGUACAAUUAAAGUUGGCUAAAAUUAGGUUAGAUCUACAAGAAUAUUAUCCAUUCAAAAAAGGCCUUAAAUGCCUGGAAACACAGUGGUGUAUCCAGAAAGAAACAGGGUUAACCAUGAUAUUUCAUAAAUCAUUGAACCUGCUUUUUAAAUAAAACCCUUCAGAAUAAAUCUCAGUAAACCUCAGCAAUCAAUUAAAUGGGACAAAAAAAACCUUGAUUCCACAGGACAAUGCACGCACAAAAACAAAGAGCAUUGUACAAGAUGAAAAUCAAGUUCUAAUAUUUAAUGGUUAUUCACAGAAAAUAAAAUGUAUGAAAGAUUAGAGGGUAGAAAAUUAAAUUUAAAUAGGUGUUUUUAAAACCGUUAACAAGAAAAUAAAAGACGUUUAUUUCUUUUGUCCUAAUUUUGCUAUAUUCUAUGUAUUUCCGUGGGCCAACUUAAAUCCUCCAGGAAUGACACUAAAGUACAAAUAAAUUCUAGUUUUCGAAUGUAGUAUAGCAUGCUAUACAGUUAUUUUUUUUAAAAAAAGAUCAUUUUCAAACUCUUGUGUAUGCUUCUUAAAGGUUACGGUAAAGCUACAAUUUAAAGUUUUCCGAAUCAUUUUAAAAGCAUCUCCAGUUUUCCUGGAGCCGCCUCGUAACGGAAAGUGAUUCUAAACACAGUUUCUAACUGCACCAGUCAGUAAGGGAAUUCGUUAUCUACAGAGAACCCUGCGUUCCCCAGAACCUAGCGGGUGAGAGCCACGGGCGCUGUCGGGGAUCAGAGAUGACGGGUUCAGUUACCUCUCCGACCCGGAACACCUGAGCUGCGCGGGCCGAGGCUGCAGCCGCCGCAGGGUAUGAUGGUAGCAGGUUACUUUACAGUAAGUCCAGAGACUAAAGAAUAUUAACAUAGAAGAACAACGUAAGAAGAAUGGAUAUCACUAUGGGACUGAAAUCUGGUGAAUUUUUUGACUGCUAAGUUUUUUGUUUUUGUUUCUUACUGCUAAGCAUCAAGACCUUGUUCCAAUGUUCAGAGAAUUUUCCAGAGUCUGAUUCUCAGUGGGACACACAGCCUACCUUCUUUCUACUGCAGAAGCCAAAAAUGCUUCCCCAUCUUUUGGCAACCACAGUGCAGUCACAUACCAUAAGGUUUAGCCAAUUGGAGAGGCUCACCUCUGGAGUUGUGAGUCUUGAACAGAGAUAUUUGUCUUUA